GAUGAACGCUGGCGGCGUGCUUAACACAUGCAAGUCGAACGAUGAAGCCCAGCUUGCUGUGUGGAUUCGUGGCGAACGGGUGAGUAACACGUGAGUAACCUGCCCUUAACUCUGGGAUAAGCCUGGGAAACUCGGUCUAAUACCGGAUAGGAGCGUCCACCGCAUGGUGGGUGUUGGAGAGAUUUAUCGGUUUUGGAUGGCCUCGCGGCCUAUCAGCUUGUUGGUGAGGUAAUGGCUCACCAAGGCGGCGGCGGGGAGCCGGCCUGAGGGGGUGACCGGCAACACUGGGACUGCGACACGGCCCAGACGCCGACGGGAGGCAGCAGGGGGGAAUAUUGCGCAAUGGGCGCAAGCCUGCUGCAGCGCCGCCGGGUGCGGGAUGACGGCCUUCGGGUUGUAAACCUCUGUCAGUAGGGAAGAAGCGAAAGUGACGGUACCUGCAGAAGAAGCACCGGCUAACUACGUG
rnacentral:rRNA from 1 species